rnacentral:rRNA from 1 species
UACGUAGGUGGCAAGCGUUGUCCGGAUUUACUGGGCGUAAAGAGCGCGCAGGCGGUCGUUCAAGUCGCGUGUGAAAGCCCCCGGCUCAACUGGGGAGGGUCACGCGAUACUGAUCGACUCGAAGGCAGGAGAGGGAAGUGGAAUUCCCGGUGUAGUGGUGAAAUGCGUAGAUAUCAGGAGGAACACCCGUAGCGAAGGCGGCACUCUGGGCCGAUUCUGACACUGAGGAGCGAAAGCGUGGGGAGCGAACAGG